GACGUAGGGCGCGAGCGUUGUCCGGAUUUACUGGGCGUAAAGGGCGUGCAGGCGGUCUGUUAAGUCUAGGGUGAAAGCUCCCGGCUCAACUGGGAGAGGUCCUUGGAUACUGGCGGACUUGAGGGAGGCAGAGGAAAGUGGAAUUCCUGGUGUAGCGGUGAAAUGCGCAGAUAUCAGGAAGAACACCCGUGGCGAAGGCGGCUCUCUGGAACGCAACUGACGCUGAGACGCGAAAGCGUGGGGAGCAAACAGG
rnacentral:rRNA from 1 species